rnacentral:rRNA from 1 species
CGAAUGCUGACAUAAGUAACGAUAAAGCGGGUGAAAAGCCCGCUCGCCGGAAGACCAAGGGUUCCUGUCCAACGUUAAUCGGGGCAGGGUGAGUCGACCCCUAAGGCGAGGCCGAAAGGCGUAGUCGAUGGGAAACAGGUUAAUAUUCCUGUACUUGGUGUUACUGCGAAGGGGGGACGGAGAAGGCUAUGUUGGCCGGGCGACGGUUGUCCCGGUUUAAGCGUGUAGGCUGGUUUUCCAGGCAAAUCCGGAAAAUCAAGGCUGAGGCGUGAUGACGAGGCACUACGGUGCUGAAGCAACAAAUGCCCUGCUUCCAGGAAAAGCCUCUAAGCAUCAGGUAACAUCAAAUCGUACCCCAAACCGACACAGGUGGUCAGGUAGAGAAUACCAAGGCGCUUGAGAGAACUCGGGUGAAGGAACUAGGCAAAAUGGUGCCGUAACUUCGGGAGAAGGCACGCUGAUAUGUAGGUGAAGUCCCUCGCGGAUGGAGCUGAAAUCAGUCGAAGAUACCAGCUGGCUGCAACUGUUUAUUAAAAACACAGCACUGUGCAAACACGAAAGUGGACGUAUACGGUGUGACGCCUGCCCGGUGCCGGAAGGUUAAUUGAUGGGGUUAGCCGCAAGGCGAAGCUCUUGAUCGAAGCCCCGGUAAACGGCGGCCGUAACUAUAACGGUCCUAAGGUAGCGAAAUUCCUUGUCGGGUAAGUUCCGACCUGCACGAAUGGCGUAAUGAUGGCCAGGCUGUCUCCACCCGAGACUCAGUGAAAUUGAACUCGCUGUGAAGAUGCAGUGUACCCGCGGCAAGACGGAAAGACCCCGUGAACCUUUACUAUAGCUUGACACUGAACAUUGAGCCUUGAUGUGUAGGAUAGGUGGGAGGCUUGGAAGUGUGGACGCCAGUCUGCAUGGAGCCGACCUUGAAAUACCACCCUUUAAUGUUUGAUGUUCUAACGUUGACCCGUAAUCCGGGUUGCGGACAGUGUCUGGUGGGUAGUUUGACUGGGGCGGUCUCCUCCUAAAGAGUAACGGAGGAGCACGAAGGUUGGCUAAUCCUGGUCGGACAUCAGGAGGUUAGUGCAAUGGCAUAAGCCAGCUUGACUGCGAGCGUGACGGCGCGAGCAGGUGCGAAAGCAGGUCAUAGUGAUCCGGUGGUUCUGAAUGGAAGGGCCAUCGCUCAACGGAUAAAAGGUACUCCGGGGAUAACAGGCUGAUACCGCCCAAGAGUUCAUAUCGACGGCGGUGUUUGGCACCUCGAUGUCGGCUCAUCACAUCCUGGGGCUGAAGUAGGUCCCAAGGGUAUGGCUGUUCGCCAUUUAAAGUGGUACGCGAGCUGGGUUUAGAACGUCGUGAGACAGUUCGGUCCCUAUCUGCCGUGGGCGCUGGAGAACUGAGGGGGGCUGCUCCUAGUACGAGAGGACCGGAGUGGACGCAUCACUGGUGUUCGGGUUGUCAUGCCAAUGGCACUGCCCGGUAGCUAAAUGCGGAAGAGAUAAGUGCUGAAAGCAUCUAAGCACGAAACUUGCC